rnacentral:lncRNA from 1 species
UAGCUCUCUACGAAACCGCGUCAAAACUAUUGACAAAAUCAUCAGACUUGAAAUAUUCUUCGAACCAUUGUUUACUGCCGGAAAAACUAUCGUUCCUAUAUUAAGACAAGCCGGUUCCUUGAGGUACUUUUUCGACCGGGGAGAAAAUCAGGGUCCGAAAGUCUCGGAGGCGAAGACGUUUCGUCAAAAUUUCACCGGAUCCCAAUCGAAGACUAUCGGGUAUUGAUACGUACGUGAAAUGAAGAUAUACCAGUUCAUUGGAGCUGUGGGAUUCAUCGCUUCCGUAAACAAACUCUGUGACCUGGAGUGAAACCAGCAAGAGUCGUGUCUUGCCUCAAAAGAGUGCUCGGGCCUCUCGCAGUGUGUACGGGACUUGAUGCAUAGCGUGAGAAAGACACCGCAUCGACUAGUGACGGAGAAAGAGCGUAUGCGAGAAGCAGAAGACUUUGCAGUUUCAGCCAAUCGCCGGGGCCUCGGGAUUCAAGCCCCUCUUCGGAUUAAACGGGAGUUUCAUUCGUCUGGUCAUCGUACGAGGACGUUGAAAAGCAUCCGUUCGCGAUGGUAUUUCUGCAUGUAGAUUUUUUCUUCAUAUAUUCCUAUCUACAUGAAGGAACCUACAUAUUUUCUGUGAGCCCCAGAAAGCUGCUUCGGUCAACUGGCGUGCAGAUUCGAUGGGGAAGAUCGUCGACGGUUGUUCUGGAAUGAGAAGCAUCGAAUUUCGAAAAUUAUGAUGAAUAAUUCUACUGUUUCAAGUACUUGGCUCGACUCCGAGUACUUGAAUUCCUUUCAGUCCUCCUCACAUAGAGACUGAACGCAUGCGAGUAGAAGUAUUUAAUAAUUACAUGGGGAUCGUUGGAAGAUGUGCACGAAGGUCGCCAUGGAUAUAAUUCCUGUUUCUUGCGCAAGGGUAUAAAAGCGUACGAAGGGAAAAAAGAGGGGCCGCGAAUACGAAUAAGUUUUCAAGUCGAAGAAUAAUAAAAAAAGAAAAUCGGAGUAAUCACUAGUGAGAUCGUUGCAGUAAAACCGCUACAGAAAUCAUACUCAUUCGUGAGUACCGAGUUCUCGGACUCGAGAGGGACGAGCGAACAACAAUUUCAGAGAUAUUUUUCUGCUCACGAUAUUUAUCGACCGGAAGACCCUCGACUCAGUAUUUCUCAAUACCUCAAUAUCGCGCACAGAGUAACGACAAUUUUUCGUGCUGGUAUGAAUGCUGGUUUAAAAAAACGUGAAAUCGAACCACGCAUUCCUUAUCAUCGCGAUAAAACGUAAACAUUUUUCAGGGCGAUUGAAUAUCUACAAUUUUCACUUUUGAAAUGAGAACUAGGCCAAAAGAAGAAAAAGUAUUUUUGAAAAUUAUUAUUUAUAGAUAAUGCUGAUUAUUGAUCCCAAAUUUUUCCGCUGGAAUGCAAUUUUGUUGUUUAAAUAUUUCGAUAGAUGUGGUCAAAAAAAUACUUUCCUCUACGCAACGAAAUUUGUCUCGUUCCCCUUCAGAUUGGUUUGAGUUUAAAAAAACGUUUGUUGGAAUAUUAUUCCGAACGAAAUAAUUUUCUGGGGGUGGAUAAUUUUGUAGUUACAUCAAAAAAAAUAUAUAAAUUUUGAUUUUACUGGCGCACUUAAUGAACUAAAAUCAUCAUGAAUUAACAAUACGGACUAAUUUCCUUAUAAGUGAAGUCCGAACUUAAUUGGAAACUGCCUUGGACCAGUGUGAAUAAAAAUGAACUUGAACUCAUGUUACAGUUUCAGUUUUCGUUGGGAUCAACUUCCUGCGUUCUGUGCAAAAAGUGACUAGAACGCAGAUAGGGGAAAAAGGAGUCGAAGGAAGAGAAACAAAGAAGAGAAGCGGCUAGGACUCGGAUGAGAGGAAGAGAGUUGCGGAUAAGAAACCGUAAUUGCCAGGCAGUGAGGAGAUUGCGCUCGAGAAAAUUGCUCUCAAGUGUAUACCCACUGUCGAAACGGUCAUGACGACGAGUUGACGAGAGAGAGAAAGAGGGGAAGAUGAGUGCAGCUAAAUUUUUUACCUCCGUGAAAGGAGGACAAACUCAAAUUUCGCAACCGGAAAAUUCGUGAAGAGUUUGGGGAAGAAGUUUUUCCAGUCAAUUCGAGACUCUCCAAUGAUGCCGUGUGCAUACAGACGAGCUGGGAUCGCAUAUUUUGCAAAGAGAUGAAUGAGAUCGUGAAUAACAAUGAGAUAGUGGGAGCGAUUCUGAGGAGGAGAGACUGAAAAAGGGAGAGAUUCGAGUGCGCUUCUCGUUGAUCAUCUUGCUCCAGCUCAGGACCUCAUGAUGAAAUUUAUAUUUUCGUGGAAGUCCCUCGUGUUCUCUCGCACCCCCUCGUAAUUACGUGACGAGCCUCUGUUGCGAGGGACGAAGGAAGGCAGAGAACGGGGAUACAGUUUUCGCGCAAUUACGAAUGCUGUUGAAUUCGUGUUCCCCUGUACGAGAUCGCUCUCGGAAGAUAUCGCGUUGCUCUAACAAUAUGAUUCAUUAAAACAAGAAGAAAAGGUGCGUGCUGUGAUUUAUCGACGAAAAAAGGAGCGAGGGUCGGACCCUGAACGAGGCUCAAGGGGAGCGAAGGGGGAGCGAGUGAGUCGCACCUUUGGCAACCUUCGAGUCGCGAGCCCCUUGCUCAACCGACUGAUCGGCCGUGGCUCGAUGGGCAUCGCGAAUCGGUCUACGGCUCGAUUUGACGUAAUCGCUUGGGCCUGACCGAAUAUUCAAACCUUACAAAGACAAAUGUGAAUAAACGCUUAUUUGGCAGAUUAUCAGAUUGAGCGUCCCUUCCUACAAGUCGAAGAAGCUCCGAGCGGCCAGAAACGGAUGGAGACGAAACUCGUCAGAUUGAUCUUCGAUAAUCAAUUGAUUUCGGUAUCCCUCUUACCUUCCACUCUCACCAAAGGAGCCUCAUGUUUGGAGAAGCGGAUAGAGGCUAACCACAAAUUACUGCGAGAAAGGUUCGAACGUAAACCCAGCAAGAACGGAUAGAAAAAAGAGUCGACGGACUGUAACGACUCUGGCACAGCUGGAUUAUUCCUUCGACAACGGGGCACCGACUCCCUAAACGUCAACUAAUAUUAAUGUUACAGCAGUCUCCAAACUCUCUUUCCAUAACCAAACCCAUAACAUUCCUUUUGAAAUUUUAAUCGACUCCAGUUCCGCACAAAACAACGUUAUAUGAUAAUGAUAACAAAUCCGAAUGAAAAGAGCUCACAAUUCUUUUUUCUUGUUCUCUCAGACCUCGCUGUAGUUCAUUUCGAAUAUUGUCUUUAAAAAAAAAAUCAAAUUUGCAAUAAUCUGACCAUUAAGGGGUUUGUGACCAAGACAAAUGUGAGAA